rnacentral:piRNA from 1 species
UCCCUAAAGGGUAGGGAAUGCCUCAUUACUA